rnacentral:rRNA from 1 species
AUUGAACGCUGGCGGCGUGCUUAACACAUGCAAGUCGAGCGGUAACAGGUGUAGCAAUACAUGCUGACGAGCGGCGAACGGGUGAGUAAUGCUUCGGAAUCUUCCUCGUAGUGGGGAAUAACCUGGGGAAACUCAGGCUAAUACCGCAUACGAACUACGGUUGAAAGCAAGGGAUCGCAAGACCUUGCGCUAUGAGAUGAGCCGAAGUCGGAUUAGCUAGUUGGUGAGGUAAAGGCUCACCAAGGCGACGAUCCGUAGCUGGUCUGGGAGGACGACCAGCCACACUGGAACUGAGACACGGUCCAGACUCCUACGGGAGGCAGCAGUGGGGAAUAUUGGACAAUGGGGGCAACCCUGAUCCAGCGACGCCGCGUGUGUGAAGAAGGCCUGCGGGUUGUAAAGCACUUUUAGUGGGGAUGAAAAGCUCAGUUCUAAUACAGCUGGGUCUUGACCUAACCCAAAGAAAAAGCACCGGCUAACUCUGUGCCAGCCGCCGCUGUAACAC